UUAAACAUAUAAACCAGACUAGAUCGGAAUAAAAACAAAAAAGGAACUAAAAUAACAAUAAUGAAGGUCUGUUGGUUUACCAACAAAAAAACCCAGCCGCCUAGCUGUUGGGUUUCUCAAAAGCAUAUGAAUUGAAAAUGAAAAAAAAUAUUUAUUAAACUUGGGAAGUUAAAAAUGAAAACUUAGGAAGUUUAAAAACAUAAAUUUUUUUAUGGUUUCAAUGCUUAUCUCUGUUUAAAAAUAAAUUAAAAAAAGAAAAAAAGAAAUGGAAACUUAUUAAACUUGGGAAGUUAAAAAUGAAAACUUAGGAAGUUUAAAAACAUAAAUUUUUUUAUGGUUUCAAUGCUUAUCUCUGUUUAAAAAUAAAUUAAAAAAAGAAAAAAAGAAAUGGAAACCAAAAAUAGUCCAUCGUCCUCGUUCUCUCCCAAACGCGUACCCGCUCUCAAUCUCUCUUCUCUCAAUCUCUCGACGCUCUCAAUGAAAUCGCUCCCUCAUCGCUCUCUCAAUCUCACUCAAUCGCUCACUUAAUCUCGCGUUCAACCCUCUCCCUCGCGUUCAACCCUCUCUCUCUCAAACUUCACUCUACAUGCAAACAGAGGCAAAGGCGGUUGAAAAGGCUCACCUUCGACGGUGACGGCCAGCUCAGGUAAUGCUUGAAUCUUCCCUUCCCCUCUUCAAACGCUGGUUUUCUUGUAUUUUAGGAUUAGGUUUUUUUAUUUGCUUUCAAGUUUCAAUUCCGCCUCCUCUUUUUUGUUUAUGGUCGCCUCCAAUUUGUGUCCCCUCCCCCACUGAUUCGCUUUCCUUUCUAUUUAUCCUUUGCAGGUUAGGGUUUCGAAUUGAUACCUUGGGUUCAAAAGAGGCGUUCCUGCAAAACACUUUUAAUGUGCUCAGAAUCGAAUUUCCCUGUUUGAUGCUAGAUUUGGAACAGGUAAUCUGAGCUCAAACUUUCUUCUUCAUUUUUGUCUCUAUUCCAAUUUGGGAAUUUUUUGGAUUUUAACACUUGCCAAUUGCUUUGUGUUACUGCAGUAAAAAUAUUGAAGAUUCCAAAAGCGGUUUCGGUUUUGAUCACAGCUUUGGAUUGAUUUUGAAGGAGGGGUCAGAAUGCGCUGAUUGAUUUCCUUC
rnacentral:lncRNA from 1 species